AUUGAACGCUGGCGGCAUGCCUUACACAUGCAAGUCGAACGGUAACGUGCCUUCGGGUGCCGUCGAGUGGCGGACGGGUGGGUAAUACAUCGGAACGUGCCCGAUCGUGGGGGGGAAAGAGGCGAAAGCUUUGCUAAUACCGCAUACGAUCUACGGCGGAAAGCAGGGGACCGCAAGGCCUUGCGCGUAUGGAGGGGCGGAUGGCGGAUUAGGUAGUUGGUGGGGUAAAAGCUGACCAAGCCGACGAUCUGUAGCUGGCCUGAGAGGAUGAUCAGCGACACUGGGACUGGGACACGGCCAAGAGUCCAACGGGAGGCGGCAGUGGGGCAUAUUGGAGAAUGGGGUGAAGCAUAAUCCAGCCAUGCCGCGUGCAGGAUGAAGGCAUUCGGGUUGUACACUGAUUUUGUACGGAACGAAAAGCCUUCUUUUAAUACAGGAGGGUCAUGACGGUACCGGAAGAAUAAGCACCGGCUAACUACGUG
rnacentral:rRNA from 1 species